rnacentral:rRNA from 1 species
GAUUAUGGCUCAGGACGAACGCUGACGGCGUCCUUAGACAUUCAAGUCGACGAGAAAGCCCUUCGGGGUUAGUAAAGUGGCGAACGGGUGAGUAACACGUGGGCAAUCUGCCCUUCGUAGGGGGACAACCGGGGGAAACCCCGGCUAAUACCCCGUAAGCUUGUCGGGUCGCAUGGCCUGACAAGGAGAGGUAGCUUCGGCCAUCCGGCGAAGGAGGAGCCCGCGGUUCAUUAGCUAGUUGGUGAGGUAACGGCUCACCAAGGCUACGAUGUAUAGCUGGUCUGAGAGGAUGAUCAGCCACACUGGGACUGAGACACGGCCCAGACUCCUACGGGAGGCAGCAGUCGGGAAUCUUGCACAAUGGGCGAAAGCCUGAUGCAGCAACGCCGUGUGAGCGACGAAGGCCCUAGGGUCGUAAAGCUCUGUUGUUAGGGACGAAGGGCGAAGGGUUAAUAGCCCUUAGCCUGACGGUACCUUUCGAGGAAGCCCCGGCUAACUACGUGCCAGCAGCCGCGGUAAUACGUAGGGGGCGAGCGUUGUCCGGAAUUAUUGGGCGUAAAGGGCGCGUAGGCGGCCUGGUAAGUCUGCUGUGAAACCUUGGGGCUCAACCCCAAGCGUGCAGUGGAUACUGUCAGGCUAGAGGAUGGUAGAGGCCAGUGGAAUUCCCGGUGUAGCGGUGAAAUGCGCAGAUAUCGGGAGGAACACCAGUAGCGAAGGCGGCUGGCUGGGCCAUUCCUGACGCUGAGGCGCGAAAGCUAGGGGAGCGAACAGGAUUAGAUACCCUGGUAGUCCUAGCCGUAAACGAUGAACACUAGGUGUGGGGGGAGUCGAAUCCCUCCGUGCCGAANCCAACGCGUUAAGUGUUCCGCCYUGGGGAGUACGGGCCGCAAGGCUAAA